rnacentral:lncRNA from 1 species
GGUUCUCACUAUGUUGCCCAAGCUGGUCCUGAACCCCUAGCCUCAAGUAAUCCUCCUGCCUCAACCUACCAAAGCAUUGGUAUUACAAGUUUGACCCACCGUGAUCAGUCCAGGGUAGGAAAUGGAAUCUUAACAACUAUCACAUGAACUUUGAGGGGAUCCUUCUCUGGAUGAGCCUUCAGUUGAGACCUCAGCCUUGGACAUCAUCUACAUCUGGAUUCCUGACCCAGAGCAACUAGAUAUUUGCCUAUGCCUCGCAUACCCCAGAAAGGCCCAUUUUCAGAUAUCAUUUAGGAACAUAUCUACGGGUUCCCACUGAACAUAUUUUGGCAGACAAAGUUUCUGGAUGCCAAAGACCAAGAUUGAGGAAUGUUAGUGACAAGAAAUGAAUUUUAUGGAACCUUGUAUUCUGUUGAGUAACAGAAUUAUAUCAGCAAUCCCAAAGUCACCAAAUGGGCAUCAUCAUGACAGCAGUGGUCAGGGAGAGAGUCCAGAUGGGACAGGAUGUGUCCUGGUAGGUAAGGGCACCCCCAGGUGUACCUGCCAAUC